AAAGGGCACAUGAGGCCCAGGCAGAGGCCGCUCGCGUCUCAUAAACUGUGCCCUCUCUCUCUACCCCUUUCGUCGUUCAAUUCAAUUACAGGGCACACACCUGCCCUCCCUUUGAAUAGUUUAAAUUACAUGUGAAAUGAUAGCAAUCUGGAGUCUAGAAGAAAGUUGUAGGUGUUUAUGUAACAUUUUAUGCACACACACACACAAAGUCAGCAAUCCCCAUGGCAACGGGCCUGCCGCCUGUGUUUCUGGAGACAAUUCAAGAAGCAAGGAGGAAAGAGCAACGCCGGGUGACUGAAUUUCAGGGGUUUGCAGGAAACCUUUCCAGACAUAGCAAAUGUCGUAAACAGGCAAAGGACAGCAUAAUCUGAAAAAGCACUUAAUUCUCCAUGGAAAGAACUACAAGGGAUAGCAUCACAGAUGCCUGUACAACCUUCACCUAAACUGACGAAUUCUGGACUGUUGCCACCCCCACUGUGCUGCUCCUUCUGCCUCCCGAGAUACGCACAUCGCCAAUCUCAAGGUGUGGGCAGAACCGAUUUCUUCUGAAGGCCUCUGUUGGUCUGCUGGUAUCUGUGACCAAUACGCUGAGCUCGCUG